rnacentral:rRNA from 1 species
AUACGGAGGAUGCGAGCGUUAUCCGGAUUUAUUGGGUUUAAAGGGUGCGUAGGCUGUGCGUUAAGUCAGGGGUGAAAUGCCGUCGCUCAACGACGGAGCUGCCCUUGAUACUGGCGUGCUGGAGUACGGAUGCCGUUGGAGGAAUGAGUGGUGUAGCGGUGAAAUGCUUAGAUAUCACUCAGAACACCGAUUGCGAAGGCAUCUGACGAAUCCGUCACUGACGCUGAGGCACGAAAGCGUGGGGAUAGAACAGGAUUAGAUACCCUGGUAGUCCACGCAGUAAACGAUGAUAACUAACCGCUGGUGCGCAAGUAUCAGUGGCCAAGCGAAAGCGAUAAGUUAUCCACCUGGGGAGUACGACCGCAAGGUUGAAACUCAAAGGAAUUGACGGGG